CUCUCAAAUAAAACGUAAUUUUUUAAAUGAACACUUGUAAGCUCAGCGAUAGGUUUUUCGUCGACUUUGAAAGGUCAGACGCUUGCAGCUUCUCUGCUUAAGGCCGAGAACCCACAGGGGACCCCUGGUUGGUUCUGGGCUCGGUAUGUCUGCGAACCUUGGCUGAGCAGCGCGAUGCCUCUGCCUGGUGGCUGGCCUUCCGUCCCUAGCGCCCUCGGAUCCCUCAAGGCUCUGGCGGCUACCCAGAGGCGAGGCUGAGAACCGAAGACACAUCUGUCCAGGUGGCCACGCCUCCGUAAAAAACCGGUACCAGAGCUGGUGCUGCUUUGACAGCCUUUUCAGCUCAUUCUGAACAUAACCUCGAAUUACGAUGAGCCAUGACUGUAGGACCAUCCAGUUCACCCUCUGUGUUCUCCAGAGCGCCCCCUGGUGGUGGGCAGUAAAGAGGUUUCACAGUUUCAUUUUAAUGGCAAAGAAACUGGGUCCUUCCCUCACCUGUGAGCCUCAAGACCCCGGCCUGAGCUGCCAUGUCCGAUUUCCCGUGUCAGGCACUGUUCCGCAGUGGGGUGACAGGCGAGCUCCCUGCCCGCGUAGAAUUAUACCCUUGCAGAACGCUUUGGGACACGCGUUCUAGGGUCUCAACUCUGCACCCCGUUUCUACCACAGCCUCGCUGUACAGGUCUCAGGAAACCUUGCCUCGUGAGCCGCUGUGAGCCUCCUUUUAUCUGUAAAAUAUGAAUGCUUUCAAGCACCCACGUCCCAUCCCCGUGCUGCGAGAAUCCUCAAAGCCCCGAUUAAGCCCUGGUACCUCGUGAUAGCUACCAUCAUUCCCCCAAGUGGAAAAGGGUCUUGAACCACAUACUUGCUCUUCUGGAAAGUUCCCUGGUGGAGCUAGGAAAAGAGGAAGAAAAAGCCUGUAACUCCUGCUGACUUAAUUUCUAACGGGAGCCUCAGAAUAAUGUGGUGUGUUGGCCCACCCAAGCCUGGGAUCGGUCUGGAAUCUGUUUCAUGUCCUAAUUUUGUCACGGGGAAAAAGUUCCUAAGGAUUCUGAGUCCGAAAGGCUGGAGAAUAGUAGUUUCCCGAGGGAAACGAGGAAAUCUUUGUGAUAGAUAGACCUGUCUCAGUAGCAGCAUUGCGGGGAUGUAAUGGGGUCCUCCCGCCUUGCCAGGACCCUCACCCGGAGUGGCUUCUCUGGGCUGGCAGGACUGCUGGCUCCCACGCCAGCCCGUGGGUCACGUGAGCACGUCCGCCGUCCCCGGCAUUGUUCCUGCCCGGAGUAAAUGAUGGCUGUUUAAUCAAAAGCAGGCCGAGCCUCCCUGGCCCGACCAGUACCUUGUCAGCACCAGCCUUCCCCCCCACCUCUGCCGCUGAGCUUUGGUGGUACGGGUCCCAGGGACCCGGGAGGCUUCGUCUACACCGUCCAGAAGCCACUCCUUCGGAGGGCGUCUUCCGGAGUUUCAACCCCGGGCACGAGCCAGCGGCUCCGAGGCAGGAAUGAGCAGUGAGGAAGCCGGCCAGCAGGCUGGGGCCUCUGUGCCCCACGGGGCACACGGCGGGCAGGCGGCAGCCUCGGGAUUUCGAGUCUCGGCCAUCGGACUCCAGUCUUUGUCCGUACACGCGGUUUGAUAUUGUAGCUAAUCGACCCAACGACCUGAGGCAAGAUGGUUUUUCUCUUUGAACGUGCCCGCUUGUGUUCUGCAGUGACACGAUCCAUAAGCCUUCCAGACCACGGACUUCUUCGCCCGUCACCUCGUAGCCGAUCUGUUGUCCCGUUAAAACCCUACGAAGUCACGUCGCGAGCCGUGUGCCGGUUAACUAAACACGGGAUGCGGGGAAAAUGGACAUGUUAGGAGGAGGGACCGUGUUAAUGAACCACAUACUUACUCUUCUGGGAAGCUCCCUGGGGGAGUUAGGAAAAGAGGAAGAAGGCUUCGGCCGACCGCCGGUGUUUGAACACCAUCCAUACAGGACUUCGUGUGUCAAGAAGGCUACUGAGCUUUGCGGAUGUUCUGAGGCUGUCCUAGGAAAAGGGGGGGGAUUCUGAGGAUUGAGCUCGCUUGCCUGGGAGGGUCACAUGGCAAGAGUUUGAAGCCUGGUGUCCUGGUUCCUGGGGGUGUGCUCCCGGCCGGCCUCCCUGGGACCAGCCGAGCAUCCUCCCGGCCAUCGUGGCCACGUCUUCUGUGAAAGCCAAGUGCACCGCGUGCCCAUCCUGCCUGGGCCCCGUCUAGCAGCGGGCAGCGUGUGUGUUAUUCCCGCCCCACCUUCUGGAAUGACGGUGGGUUGGCCUGUAGAGGACGUUGAGUAAUAACUGGAGAAAGGGCCACUCCGGCUCCCAAAUAAACAGGCUGGUGAGUGAUGAGGGGACCCCUUCCUCCCCGGCCCCACCCGGGCCAGCUGCCGCCACCCUGCACACGUUUCUUUCGCAAAGGCGGGUAAACACCACCGGGACCCACUUCAAAAGGCUCCGUGGGCAGCCGUGGAGGGGGCGGCUGCUGCUGAUGGAAGCGACGUGCCUUUGGGGGGGCUGGGGUGGCCUCCGGUAACAGACGGCCCCAAGAUGUCCAAAUACAUCAGCGUGGAGGCCUCAAAGGCCCAGAGACCAGAGCAGGAAAAAUAAAUAAUUCCGUUAUCUCUGA